UAGAGGCUUCUGGUCUCCUCCGAGGGGUGUGAGAGGGGACAGAUCUUUGGCAGGGUGCGUGUGGAAGGGCAAGGUGAAGAGCAUGUUGCUUCUCUUGGCGUUGAACUGGUCUGACAGACUGCAGCGUGUGCCACCUUCCUGGAGGAGCAGCCAAAGCUUUGUUGAUUUGGCAGCACAAAUAAGCUUUCUGUCAACAAUGCAAAGAAGUUUUCGGUACCUGGCCAGGUGCAUGCUGGCAGCUUCUGGUCUGUGUGUGUGUGAGCUGGCCUAGCUCUGUCUCGUUACUGCAGCGUCCUAAGAGGAGGCAUUCCCUGUGAAGUCCUGGUAUAAUUAACCAGGCAGGCUGGGCAGCAUGACAAACUGCUGAGAUGAUGCCAGCUUUGCAAGCAAUAGUUUACACUUUCUCAUCGCUCUGAGAAGUAUCCCUUGGUUUGUAGUAGAUUUUCUGGCUUCAGUGCGUAGUUGCAUCAGGUGGCUCUUAACUGGGGAGAUUGGGAAGAGAUGGACAGCUCAUACAUUCAUACAGUCCGUGGUAUUCAUACACUCCCUGCUUAGUGUGUGUCACUGAAACAGUGCUGUGGGCUGAUGAGGAGAUGGAGAAGCACUUGUGACCACGCUGUACAGUUUGGAAGGUGAGGAGGAGAAGGCUUAGCCCUAAUGUCUACCUAAAAUGCUAACCUGGGGUUCCCCACCUAGAUGUCAAGGCAGUCGUGCUUCACACGAACUGUAACAGCUCCAUCUAGUGCUAACACUUCCAUUUACUGCUGGAGGAUCUGGGUACAGCUCUGCCACUGGAAAAUCAGUGGCUCGACUAAUGUGCAGUAAUUUCCCAUGUAUGCACAGUUAAUGAAGAUUAAAACAGUGAACUGGCUAAGCUGUUGCUUUUACUUUUUAUUGUCUGUACCUAUAGGCAACUAUUAAGGUGUAGGGCUCAAAAGGGGCUGUUGAGGCUAGGGUAUUUGGGUCAAGAUCCUUUGGGCAGAUAAAAAAUGAAGCUGUGGCAGCCCUGUGAAGGGUUUGCUAUGGAAUUUGCCCUCCCAGCCUGGUCAAGGUAAGUGGAACUCUUGAUGUUGCUGAUGCUCUGCUAUAUAGAGACCAAUUUGAUAUUCAGUAGUCUGAAUUCACCUUUUAUGAGUUAAGCUCUUAAAGGUGAAAUACAGGAGCUUUUCUGGAAGCAUUAAGAUGUGACUGAAAGCUUGAUAUGCAUGUCAGUAAUAUUCCAGGAUACCUAAUCUCUUUUGAGAUCAAAUGUGACUAAUCUACUGCAAGGUCCCCAUGAGUUCACACCCUUAAAAUCUGAACAGAUGCUUUCAGGAAGGGUUUUUCUCUUUUGUUUCAAGCAAAAUGUGCUUAGUUGUCUUAAGGUUCUGGCAUGGAGCACAGAGCAUGCUUUUGAAGCCAGCUCCUCAAUUGCAGCCAUCAGAAAGGGUUUGCAAGGAUCACAUCUGGCUGCCGUCCACUUGGUUCAUCUUCUGGAAUUAUGCAAUAUUGUAUUUCUGGUCUCCAAAACCAUGUUGUGAGUAAUGCUGUUCCCUAAGCCGAUUUCUGUAGUAGUAUGUCAUGAUGUGCUGGUAGAAUAGCAGGGCAAGGACAACCGUGUUUAACAAUACUCCACUUGGAUGUUUGUGUGGAAAAAUAGCAGCUGCUUGUCCGAGUUCAAUGCAGGUCUUCAGCGGGUUGUGUGGAUUCCUGAGCUCUGGACUCCACCUGCUGGGUAAACAUCUACUAGCAAAUCUCCAAGCCCAAAACAUCUGCUGUGUGUUACUGGGCGAUCAGCAGGAAGGCUUUUCAGAUCUUGUCUCCCUACCUAAUAUCUACUUCUGCUGUAAACACUAAUUAGCUGAAGAGCUUUGGGAAAGCAACAUCAGUAAAUAUCUACUAAGCAAAAGACAGGAGGGGGAGGGCCUUGUGGCCAGGGUAUAAAAGCAUGAGAGAGGAGGUAUAAAGCACCUCCAUGUGGAAUGGUUAAGCCUUAGCCUUCCUGGGUUUGGUCUGGUAGGAUGAAAUAACUGGCCUCAUCCCUCUGGGCUACAUGAAAGUGGAUUACUGUGGGAGACAUGAGCGGUUAGUUUAUAAAUCCACUUUCUUUUUGUAUUAGCUUGUACAGCCUUUAUCUCUAAAUAGGGAGUAAAGGAAAAGUGGUGGUGAGCAAGGUGAACCAGGGAUCUGAAAUAUGAAAGCCUUUCUAGAGCAUUAAGCGUGAGUCCCAUAGCUGGGUGUAAUAAAGUAGCAGCAAUACCAGGAUCUACCGAAAGAAUACGAGACUCAGUUUAAUGAAUUAACAAAGACUCUGGGGAAUGUGUUCCCUGAGGCUAAAGGGGGACACAGCUCCUUAUUCCUUAAUCUCUGCCUGCACAGGCUUGAUUCUGCUUCUUGAUCUUGUGGAAUGCAUCUUCACCAUAGCUACAGGCUGUGGGGAGACACCUCAGCUUUGAAACUUGUGCAGUCCUCAGAAUGCUGGAAGCUGCCUUUUUUUCAGUGUUUGCAGCUCUUCUUAUUAGGAGUGUUACUGUACAGCACAGGAACUGCAGGAAAACGUAGUAGCUUUAACUUCAGCUUGUAGUAACUUAAUAGGUUUGCUUGGAAAAUGUUUUGUCAAGACAGAUAUGUGUAUCUUUGUCUUCAUUCCCUGGCAUAAACAUGGUAGGUAAUCUGGCUAGACAAAAAAAAGGUGUUUUUUUUU